UAAAUGUGAUUUUUAGAGAUCCUAAAGGAUUCUAAACUAGUUUAAUCAAAAGUUCACCAUGAAUUUGGGGUAUUCGCACUACAACAAAAACGGAAUAUAGUAGGACUUUUAUAUGUCGCUAAAACAUCAAAAAAGUGCUACAGUAUUUUUUACGGACACUGCCAGAAAUGUCACUAUAUGUCGGGUCACAGGACAUAUAGUGACACUUAAAAAGUGCCGGUAUAUAGAAGAAAAAAUAUUGCAGUGAGACGACACUUUUGCUUACAUAUCCCAGCAUAUUAAAAGUGUCGGUAUAAGAUUCUUCUGACACUUUUUAGUGUUACAAAGAGGAAAAAAAAAAGGGAUGUGUUUUAGACAAUACCGACCUUUAUUUUAUAUUUAUAGAGACACUUUAUUAUAAUUUAACAACAAUCAGACAAAUAUUAGCGACUGUUGGUUUUCAGUAGCAUUUUUUUUACUUUUUACCUGCACUUUAUUAACAAAAAACUAAUAAUGCAAUUAUUUUUACCAUCACUUUUUUACUACUUAGCGACACUUUUUAAAAAUAUAAUAUUUUUAAUAUAUAAUAAUUUUAUUAUUUAAUUUUUAUCAUAUACUAUUGUUUAUCAUUCAUUCACUAUAUUAUUCAUUAAUGAUUCAUCCAACAAAAAUCAUUUACCAUAAUCUUUCCAACACAUCAUCAAAAAAAUAUACAAAUAAAAAACAUAUCAUCUAUACCAAUACAUGAUUUCUCAUGGUGAAAUCCAACGUGGAUGCACCACCUUAAUUUGAGGAUGGUGGGACCCACUAUUUAUUUUAAAAUUUUCUCUAUUCUUUUUUAUCUUAGUAAAAUCCUUCCUCUCCCUCAUAUCCACAUCAUUUAACUUUCUUUCUCUCUCUCUCUUUUUUUUUCCUCAUACCUCUUUUUUUUUUUUAUUUCCCAAACUCUUGCUUUUUUUUUUUUUUUUUAUUUUCCAAACCAACAGUGGCAUCUCUCUUUUCCCUCAUCUCAUCUACAGAGCAGUUUGGAUGGAAGGUUUUAUAUCUCUCCAUCCAUGAUUUUAGAAUUUCUUUUUCUCUCCUCAUUUUCCUCUUGCUCGCUACUCGGAGCCCUUCGGCCCUCAUCCGUUGUUCCUCAUGCAUCCUCAAAAAGGAUGGUGUAUGCUGCCAUCGCUGUCUGUCCCAUUCUUAACAAUCAUGAAAUAUCUAUAUUUCUAUAUUUUUAUUUCUUCUAUAAUUUUUUUUAUUAUUUACCUGUUGCAUCGCGCGGAUUAUUUCACUAGUUCAUAUUAAGAAGAAAAAGUUAUUAUCAUUCAUUCACUAUAUUGUUCAAGGUAUCAUUUUGAAAUUCUCUAUAGGGUGAAGGGGGUCUUUGCAUAAUUAUAUAUUUUCUAAACUAUACAAUUUUGAGGCAAGUUUGCAAUAACAUAAUGCUUAGGGACCACCUCUUAACAUCUUUUGCAGAUUUAAAAAAAAUAAAAAAUUGAAUGAAUUUUCUACCAACAAUAGUUUCUUAGAAUCUUGUGAAAAUCUUAUACUACUUGAAAACUAUGCCUUCUCUAUUAUAAUGUCUUUUGUACAAUUGGAAAAGCUUACCAAAUAAAAAAUAAAUCUUUAAAGUCAAUAAAGGAAGAAGAAAAUAUAAUAUCCUCUUUAGAUAAUUUUAAUAAACUGUGAUAUGACCUUCCUUAAUGAUCUUUCUAAAAAAAUUUAGACACAAACCGACCUGAAAUUUUUUUAAAAAACAAACAUAAAGUACAAAAACAAUUAAAAUAUCAAAUCAACUAAACACUACACUCCCACCUAUGCCAUUACAAAAACCCUGAAGCUCUAACAAAAACAAUGAAGCUAUAAAAUAAAACUUGAUAGUGGAAUAAAAAAUGGUACAAAAAUCCUAAAGCUCUAAAUAAAACUU
rnacentral:lncRNA from 1 species